AUAGGGAGAAUAAGAUUUUAACUAAUCCCUUACCCUAUCUAGCUAGUUCCGAGAACUAACAAAGAACCAAAGCCUGUCCAGGUUCAAUGAAUCUAACGUAAGACUUUGCAGCACUGUAAUCGAACUGUGCUUCUUGAUCUUCUCGGAUCAAUGGUGGUUAAAUUGAAUAUUAAAAAAAAAA